GACGAACGCUGGCGGCGUGCUUAACACAUGCAAGUCGAGCGGAAAGGCCCUUCGGGGUACUCGUGCGGCGAACGGGUGAGUAACACUUGCAUAACCUUCCCCCGCCCUUGGGAUAACCCUCGGAACCGGGGACUAAUACUGGUACCGACUAAGCUUCGCAUGUGGUCUGUGUGGAAAGUUCUUCGGUUGCGGAUGGGCUCGGGGCCUAACAGCUUGGUGGUGGGGUGGUGGUCUUCCAAGGCCACGGCGGGUAGCCGGCCCGGGGGGGGGACCGGCCACAUUGGGACCGAGAAACGGGCCCGACUUCUACGGGAGGGAGGAGGGGGGAAUAAUGCACAAUGGGGGGAAGCCUGAAGGAGCAAAGCCGGGGGGGGGAUGGCGGCCUUUGGGGUGUAAAACGCUUUCGACUGGGAAGAAGGGUUAGUGACGGUUACGGGCAGAGAAGGCCCGGCUAACUACGUG
rnacentral:rRNA from 1 species